CGAAAGUGCAUUCUAUCCUCCGUAAAAAAAGAAGAACGACAAGCCUUUUGGAUUCGCUUUCCAUUCACUGGAGGACAAAGGCGUCACGGAGGAUGUGCAGGCAUUUCGGCGUUUCGGGUGUCUGGUGGGCGGGCCCUCAUACGCGCUCGCCGGACUCUCGUAGAAAAACCUCGUUGUGUAGAAGGAAGAAACGAUUGGCUUUUUUUUCUCCGGAUAAGAAGAAAGAUCAACCGAGAGCUUACCUUCUCCAAUAUCCGGCGGGCACGGGAGCGACCGGGAAAUCGGUAGAAGGUGUCUUCUUGAGUACGAGAGCGUAACCACGUGCUGGUGGCUGCGCCACUUGUAAUCAUCGUUUAUCAAAAAAUCCUGCUCUGGCCUGAUACACAACUGUUCUUACAUAGAGACUUCGUCUGCAUUUAUCGUUGUCUCCCGGUACCGAGUUCACGAUUGGCUGAAAUGCCCGCCUGUCGUUUGUGUCUGUUUUCCGGAGAAAACAGCGAAUCCUUGUUUCACACGAAAGCUUAGGACUCGUCGCCACUCCUGCAAGGCGUUUGCCCAUUUAAGAGCAACUUUUGUGGAUGGUUUUCAGGAUUGUGAUCCGAGGAAGAUCACGUCUUUUCCGCACUGACCACCGACGUCAGGCUUUACUAAACUUGAAGGGUUACUGCCUGCUAUGGGACAGGGUGGCGAUUUCUACUUCUUUGAGGGUGGAAAACUGGCAUAGUGGGCGCCUUCAUAGAGGAAGACUAAGCGACCUCUUAUUGUUCUUCGAAAAACAAAUAGGUCUGUGUGAGUGUCAGCGUCAAUACCUUGCCCUGUCACGGCCCUGGGUGGUGGAGAUCGUUUUUUUUUUCGGUAGCAUGGUUCACAAUUGCACUUUGCUAUUCGCGGUGACAAACAUGUCUUUGUAUGAUUUAUUCGAC
rnacentral:lncRNA from 1 species